rnacentral:rRNA from 1 species
GCCCGCUCAGAAACUACAAAGGAAUUGACGGGGCCCGCACAAGCGGUGGAGUAUGUGGUUUAAUUCGAUGCAACGCGAAGAACCUUACCUGGUCUUGACAUCCCGGAGACCCUUAGGAAACUAGGGGGUGCUUCCAUCUGGAAGAAUCUGGAGACAGGUGCUACAUGGCUGUCGUCAGCUCGUGUCGUGAGAUGUUGGGUUAAGUCCCGCAACGAGCGCAACCCUUGCCUUUAGUUGCCAGCAGUUCGGCUGGGCACUCUAAAGGGACUGCCGGUGUUAAACCGGAGGAAGGUGGGGAUGACGUCAAAUCAUCAUGCCCCUUAUGUCCAGGGCUUCACACAUGCUACAAUGGUCGGUACAACGCGUGUGCGACACUGUGAGGUGAAGCUAAUCGCUCUAAAGCCGGUCGUAGUUCGGAUUGGGGUCUGCAACUCGACCCCAUGAAGUCGGAGUCGCUAGUAAUCGCAGAUCAGCAACGCUGCGGUGAAUACGUUCCCGGGCCUU